CCUAGCUUCUUUUUCCAAUAUAGUCCAAAUCUCGUUCUAUGAAGCUUAAUACAGGCUUCAUAUACUCUACUCCUACCUUAAUACGUCCACGUUGUAUAGACCGAUAACAUAUGCUCCUUAAAAUCUGUGCUUGUAUGCACGGGAAAACUCAACCCCUCGGGAGGAAGAAUGAUAAGGCUUAGUUGAAAGGA
rnacentral:ribozyme from 1 species